rnacentral:rRNA from 1 species
AUGAACGCUAGCGGCAGGCCUAACACAUGCAAGUCGAGGGGUAACAUGAUAGCUUGCUAUUGAUGACGACCGGCGCACGGGGGCGUAACGCGUAUGCAACUUACCUCAAUCAGAGGGAUAGCCCAGAGAAAUUUGGAUUAAUACCUCAUAAUAUUUAUUUGUUGCAUGACAGAUAAAUUAAAGCUUUAUCGGUAAAGGAUGAGUAUGCGUCCCAUUAGCUAGUUGGUAAGGUAAUGGCUUACCAAGGCUACGAUGGGUAGGGGGCCUGAGAGGGUGAUCCCCCACACUGGUACUGAGACACGGACCAGACUCCUACGGGAGGCAGCAGUGAGGAAUAUUGGUCAAUGGACGAAAGUCUGAACCAGCCAUGCCGCGUGAAGGAUGACUGCCCUAUGGGUUGUAAACUUCUUUUAUAUAGGAAGAAACCUCUCUACGUGUAGAGAGUUGACGGUACUAUACGAAUAAGGACCGGCUAACUCCGUGCCAGCAGCCGCGGUAAUACGGAGGGUCCAAGCGUUAUCCGGAUUCAUUGGGUUUAAAGGGUGCGUAGGCGGAAUAUUAAGUCAGUGGUGAAAUCCUAUAGCUCAACUAUAGAACUGCCAUUGAUACUGAUAUUCUUGAGUCUAGAUGAAGUGGGCGGAAUACAACAUGUAGCGGUGAAAUGCAUAGAGAUGUUGUAGAACACCAAUUGCGAAGGCAGCUCACUAACCUAGUACUGACGCUGAUGCACGAAAGCGUGGGGAGCGAACAGGAUUAGAUACCCUGGUAGUCCACGCUGUAAACGAUGAUAACUCGCUGUUAGCGAUACACAGUUAGCGGCUAAGCGAAAGCGUUAAGUUAUCCACCUGGGGAGUACGUUCGCAAGAAUGAAACUCAAAGGAAUUGACGGGGGCCCGCACAAGCGGUGGAGCAUGUGGUUUAAUUCGAUGAUACGCGAGGAACCUUACCUGGGCUUAAAUGUAGAUUGACAGAUUGGGAAACCAGUCCUUCUUCGGACAAUUUACAAGGUGCUGCAUGGUUGUCGUCAGCUCGUGCUGUGAGGUGUCGGGUUAAGUCCCAUAACGAGCGCAACCCCUAUCCUUAGUUGCCAGCGAGUAAUGUCGGGGACCUAGAGAAACUGCCUACGUAAGUAGAGAGGAAGGUGGGGAUGACGUCAAAUCAUCACGGCCCUUACGUCCAGGGCUACACACGUGCUACAAUGGUGUUGACAAAGGGCAGCCACUUGGUGACAAGGAGCUAAUCCUAAAACAACAUCUCAGUUCGGAUCGCAGUCUGCAACUCGACUGCGUGAAGCUGGAAUCGCUAGUAAUCGCGCAUCAGCCAUGGCGCGGUGAAUACGUUCCCGGGCCUUGUACACACCGCCCGUCAAGCCAUGGAAGCUGGGAGUGCCUGAAGUCGGUGACCGCAAGGAGCUGCCUAAGGUAAAACUGGUAACUGGGGCUA